rnacentral:rRNA from 1 species
CGGACGGGUGAGUAACGCGUGGAAAACCUGCCGUGUACUGGGGGAUAACACUUAGAAAUAGGUGCUAAUACCGCAUAAGCGCACAGCUUCGCAUGAAGCGGUGUGAAAAACUCUGGUGGUAUACGAUGGUUCCGCGUCUGAUUAGCUAGUUGGUGGGGUAAUGGCCUACCAAGGCAACGAUCAGUAGCCGGCCUGAGAGGGUGAACGGCCACAUUGGGACUGAGACACGGCCCAAACUCCUACGGGAGGCAGCAG